UAGCUAUGAAAUACUGUCAAGAUCUCGUGGGUAAUAGGAGAGUGGGAGUCGUGUGCUGAAAGGCAAUUGCAGUGGAAGAGAAUGCAUGUAGUUGAAUAGCUGGGGAUUUCAAGAUUUUUUUUUUAUACUGUAGAACACAAAGAGAUGCGGUAGCUGUGCUCUCAUCCAUCUGUAAGAAGAAUUGCACUACUCAGCCUAUGGGAAUGUCUGCCAACUAGAAGCCGGUGAAAUUCACUGACCCCAAGUAAACUUUUUCUGACAGAAUUAUUCAGCCCCUGGUACGCAAGAAUAAAUGUUUUGGAAAGGUCAGCUCUGCUUGCAGUGAGCCAACCUCGUCAUCUUCAAGACUCGCAAAACCCAGAGACUGUUUCUUAUGUUCGCUUUAUAAUGCCUCUGAAGAAAAUGCGCUAGAACAGCAUUCAGUGGAGUGUGAAAAACACUAAAGGGUUUUACCCUUGCCAUUGUUUACUGUGAAAUGUCAAUCUAGUGCUCUAGCACAGCUUGGGCCGAGGGGCCUUUCCUUGUCUGCUCUAUUCUACUUGGUUUUUGCUUUUCUUGGUCUCACAAUAGUGUGUUUUUUCAUCUAUAAACUGAGAAGACAAUCCAAGGUUAAGCUGUUGCUGACAGAAAAGAAAUAAAUAAUUUGAUAUGAAUGUUUUGACAUAAUCAAGUGAGAUGAACAAAAAUACUGGGGGCAUGUUCUAUUGAUCAUUUCUUACUCCAGAGUGUAUGGCGCUCAGUUACUGAGCCAUGAGGGCCCUGGAAACAACCUGGGCAAGCCAUGGUUGUUACAGAUUUAGGUAUCGAUUAGUAUUCAGAUGGUGUAGAUGUGUAUAAAUAAAAUAGUGUAAGAAAGCUUUUUAUUGAUUCAAGCACUUCAGCAGUAUGUGUGAGAACAUCCAGGAGAAAGUUUAGGAGCAAUUGCAGGAGAAGAAAAAGCAAAAGAAAAAAGCAGAUGCUUGUGGCAAGGUAAAAUAUAGUGGAGAGCAAAGAGAGCAGGAGUGUGCUCUUAAACCAAAACAACAAAUAAAAAUGUCUCAGGGAAAAAACAAGUGUUUGAGGUGAUGUCCAGUAAAGAGCGAUGAACAAUUCAAUAUGAUGACUUAGCAGCAGUCUGUGUUGGAGCUCUUUAAAGUUAAGCACAAACAUAAACUUUUCUAGGAUCUAGGCUUUAGGAUGACAUGCAGGGCUGGGCUUCUCCAAAGGGAUGGUCUGUUGUAGCUAGGGCUAAAG
rnacentral:lncRNA from 1 species